UCCUCUUUGAUUGUCUGUUGUA
rnacentral:miRNA from 1 species